rnacentral:rRNA from 1 species
GACGAACGCUGGCGGCGUGCUUAACACAUGCAAGUCGAACGGAAAGGCCCUGCUUUUGUGGGGUGCUCGAGUGGCGAACGUGUGAGUAACACGUGAGUAACCUGCCCUUGACUUUGGGAUAACUUCAGGAAACUGGGGCUAAUACCUGAUAGGAGCUCCUGCUGCAUUGUGGGGGUUGGAAAGUUUCGGCGGUUGGGGAUGGACUCGUGGCUUAUCAGCUUGUUGGUGGGGUAGUGGCUUACCAAGGCUUUGAUGGGUAGCCGGCCUGAGAGGGUUACCGGCCACAUUGGGACUGGAAUACGGCCGAGACUACUACGGGAGGCAGUAGUGGGGAAUAUUGCACAAUGGGCGGAAGCCUGAUGCAGCAACGCCGCGUGCGGGAUGACGGCAUUCGGGUUGUAAACCGCUUUCGCCUGUGACGACGCGUGAGUGACGGUAAUGGGUAAAGAAGCACCGGCUAACUACGUG